rnacentral:miRNA from 1 species
AGCGAAGGGGACGCCUGAAGACUC